GAUGCAGAACGUAGCGAAAUGCGAUAAGUAAUGUGAAUUGCAGAAUUCAGUGAAUCAUCGAAUCUUUGAACGCACAUUGCGCCCCCUGGUAUUCCGGGGGGCAUGCCUGUUCGAGCGUCAUUUCACCACUCAAGCCUCGCUUGGUAUUGGGCAACGCGGUCCGCCGCGUGCCUCAAAUCGUCCGGCUGGGUCUUCUGUCCCCUAAGCGUUGUGGAAACUAUUCGCUAAAGGGUGUUCGGGAGGCUACGCCGUAAAACAACCCCAUUUCUAAGGUUGACCUCGGAUCAGGUAGGGAUACCCGCUGAACUUAAGCAUAUCAAUAAGCGGAGGA
rnacentral:misc_RNA from 1 species